GACGAACGCUGGCGGCGUGCCUAAUACAUGCCAGUAGAACGCUGAAGGAGGAGCUUGCUUCUCUGGAUGAGUUGCGAACGGGUGAGUAACGCGUAGGUAACCUGCCUGGUAGCGGGGGAUAACUAUUGGAAACGAUAGCUAAUACCGCAUAAUAGCAGUUGUUGCAUGACAACUGUUUGAAAGGUGCAAUUGCACCACUACCAGAUGGACCUGCGUUGUAUUAGCUAGUUGGUGGGGUAACGGCUCACCAAGGCGACGAUACAUAGCCGACCUGAGAGGGUGAUCGGCCACACUGGGACUGAGACACGGCCCAGACUCCUACGGGAGGCAGCAGUAGGGAAUCUUCGGCAAUGGACGGAAGUCUGACCGAGCAACGCCGCGUGAGUGAAGAAGGGUUUCGGAUCGUAAAGCUCUGUUGUAAGAGAAGAACGAGUGUGAGAGUGGAAAGUUCACACUGUGACGGUAUCUUACCAGAAAGGGACGGCUAACUACGUG
rnacentral:rRNA from 1 species